UUGCAUCUUUAGUAAACCCCCCAGUUGCCGUCUGUGGCCUCCGGGACAAGAAAAGGUGCUAGAUCAAUCUUAGAACAUCCAAAACCGAGAGCCGCUUGUCAGAUGCUCCUGGUUAUUUCACCUCUAAGACACGA